UACAGAGGGUGCUAGCGUUGUUCGGAAUCAUUGGGCGUAAAGGGCGUGUAGGCGGUUUGUUAAGUCAUGUGUGAAAUCCCUCGGCUCAACCGGGGAACGACGCAUGAAACUGGCAAGCUAGAGUACCAAAGAGGGGGGUGGAAUUCCCGGUGUAGCGGUGAAAUGCGUAGAUAUCAGGAGGAACACCUGUGGCGAAAGCGGCUCACUGGACCACAACUGACGCUGAUGCACGAAAGCUAGGGGAGCAAACAGG
rnacentral:rRNA from 1 species